rnacentral:rRNA from 1 species
UACAGAGGGUGCGAGCGUUACUCGGAAUUACUGGGCGUAAAGCGCACGUAGGCGGCUACUCAAGUCAGAGGUGAAAGCCCAGGGCUCAACCUUGGAACUGCCUUUGAAACUAGGUAGCUAGAAUUCUGGAGAGGUCAGUGGAAUUCCGAGUGUAGAGGUGAAAUUCGUAGAUAUUCGGAAGAACACCAGUGGCGAAGGCGACUGACUGGACAGAUAUUGACGCUGAGGUGCGAAAGCGUGGGGAGCAAACAGG